UUUCCACUGGGAUUUGGGUCCCUGACCCCUUUGGCGUGGCUGUUGGUGGGAAGCUUGCGCCAUUCCUGCUAGCACGGUGCUUGGAGUCAUCAGAAUGACACAUCCCCAAUUCCACGAGCACCAAAUGUCACUCGGAUAGUGUGAUGGGAUGGAAUUUCAGCUGAACACCAGGUCAUGCUUAACAGUCUCGACUCCAGCUGAAGUCAUGGGGAGCUCUGCACCUCUGAAAAUCAAGCCCAAGGCAUCGAAUGGCUUUCAGGCCCCCUGUGGCUCAGACAUUCUUCUUGCUUCUGAAGUGCAGUAAGCCAGGGCUCUGGCAGUCAAAGGUGGAUUGCAAAGGCUGCUACUAAAAAGAAUCACUCCAACCUCAGAGUCAAACAGAAGAACCUGCAUGAAAAUGCUUUACAGCAGAGCAAGACCACACUUAAAGAUUAUACUUGGCAAUCUUUGUUUUGGAGGUUGGGGGUGGAGGGGCGAGGCUUAAUGUAAGAAGGAAACAAUAAAUCAAUUGUUACAUUAAUAGU